GACGAACGCUGGCGGCGUGCUUAACACAUGCAAGUCGAACGGUAAGGCCCUUCGGGGUACACAAGUGGCGAACGGGUGAGUAACACGUGGGUGAUCUGCCCUGCACUUCGGGAUAAGCCUGGGAAACUGGGUCUAAUACCGGAUAGGACCACUGCCUGCAUGGGUGGUGGUGGAAAGCUUUUGCGGUGUGGGGUGGGCCCGCGGCCUAUCAGCCUGUUGGGGGGGUGAUGGCCUACCAAGGCGACGACGGGUAGCCGGCCUGAGAGGGUGACCGGCCACACUGGGACUGAGAUACGGCCCAGACUCCUACGGGAGGCAGCAGUGGGGAAUAUUGCACAAUGGGCGCAAGCCUGAUGCAGCGACGCCGCGUGAGGGAUGACGGCCUUCGGGUUGUAAACCUCUUUCAGCACCGACGAAGCGCAAGUGACGGUAGGUGCAGAAGAAGGACCGGCCAACUACGUGCCAGCCGCCGCGGUAA
rnacentral:rRNA from 1 species